rnacentral:rRNA from 1 species
UACGUAGGGUGCAAGCGUUGUCCGGAAUUAUUGGGCGUAAAGAGCUCGUAGGCGGUUUGUCGCGUCUGCUGUGAAAACCUGGGGCUCAACCCCGGGCCUGCAGCCGAUACGGGCAGACUAGAGUUCGGCAGGGGAGACUGGAAUUCCUGGUGUAGCGGUGAAAUGCGCAGAUAUCAGGAGGAACACCGGUGGCGAAGGCGGGUCUCUGGGCCGAAACUGACGCUGAGGAGCGAAAGCGUGGGGAGCAAACAGG